GCCGAAGUGGCGAAAUUGGUAGACGCACUGGACUCAAAAUCCAGCGGUGGCAACACCGUUCCGGUUCGACUCCGGACUUCGGCA
rnacentral:tRNA from 2 species